CACGUAGGGGGCAAGCGUUGUCCGGAUUUAUUGGGCGUAAAGAGCUCGUAGGCGGCUCAGUAAGUCAGGUGUGAAACCUCCAGGCUCAACCUGGAGACGCCACCUGAUACUGCUGUGGCUAGAGUCCGGUAGGGGAGCGUGGAAUUCCUGGUGUAGCGGUGAGAUGCGCAGAUAUCAGGAGGAACACCAGCGGCGAAGGCGGCGCUCUGGGCCGGAACUGACGCUGAGGAGCGAAAGCGUGGGUAGCAAACAGG
rnacentral:rRNA from 1 species